rnacentral:rRNA from 1 species
UACGGAGGGUGCAAGCGUUGUUCGGAUUUACUGGGCGUAAAGCGCGAGCAGGCGGGUGGGCAAGUCCUGUGUGCAAUCUUUCGGCUCAACCGAAAAACUGCAUGGGAAACUACCCAUCUUGAGUGCGAGAGAGGAUGGCGGAAUUCCUGGUGUAGCGGUGAAAUGCGUAGAUAUCAGGAGGAACACCGGUGGCGAAGGCGGCCAUCUGGCUCGACACUGACGCUCAUUCGCGAAGGUCGGGGGAGCAAACAGGAUUAGAUACCCUGGUAGUCCCGACAGUAAACGUUGGACACUAGGUGUUGGAGGUCGACCCCUUCAGUGCCGCAGCUAACGCAUUAAGUGUCCCGCCUGGGGAGUACGGCCGCAAGGUUGAA